CCUACGGGGGGCAGCAGUGGGGAAUAUUGCACAAUGGGCGCAAGCCUGAUGCAGCCAUGCCGCGUGUGUGAAGAAGGCCUUCGGGUUGUAAAGCACUUUCAGCGGGGAGGAAGGCGGUGAGGUUAAUAACCUCAUCGAUUGACGUUACCCGCAGAAGAAGCACCGGCUAACUCCGUGCCAGCAGCCGCAGUAAUACGGAGGGUGCAAGCGUUAAUCGGAAUUACUGGGCGUAAAGCGCACGCAGGCGGUCUGUCAAGUCGGAUGUGAAAUCCCCGGGCUCAACCUGGGAACUGCAUUCGAAACUGGCAGGCUAGAGUCUUGUAGAGGGGGGUAGAAUUCCAGGUGUAGCGGUGAAAUGCGUAGAGAUCUGGAGGAAUACCGGUGGCGAAGGCGGCCCCCUGGACAAAGACUGACGCUCAGGUGCGAAAGCGUGGGGAGCAAACAGGAUUAGAUACCCGAGUAGUC
rnacentral:rRNA from 1 species